rnacentral:rRNA from 1 species
AUUGAACGCUGGCGGCAGGCCUAACACAUGCAAGUCGAGCGGAUGAAGGGAGCUUGCUCCUGGAUUCAGCGGCGGACGGGUGAGUAAUGCCUAGGAAUCUGCCUGGUAGUGGGGGAUAACGUCCGGAAACGGGCGCUAAUACCGCAUACGUCCUGAGGGAGAAAGUGGGGGAUCUUCGAACCUCACGCUAUCAGAUGAGCCUAGGUCGGAUUAGCUAGUUGGUGGGGUAAAGGCCUACCAAGGCGACGAUCCGUAACUGGUCUGAGAGGAUGAUCAGUCACACUGGAACUGAGACACGGUCCAGACUCCUACGGGAGGCAGCAGUGGGGAAUAUUGGACAAUGGGCGAAAGCCUGAUCUAGCCAUGCCGCGUGUGUGAAGAAGGUCUUCGGAUUGUAAAGCACUUUAAGUUGGGAGGAAGGGCAGUAAGUUAAUACCUUGCUGUUUUGACGUUACCAACAGAAUAAGCACCGGCUAACUUCGUG